AACUACCGCGUUGAAAACACCUGUUCUCAUCCGAUCACUGAAGUUAAGCAACGUCGGGCGUUCCAAAGCUUUUUUACUAAGUAAAAAAGUUU
rnacentral:rRNA from 1 species